AAAAAAAGACGUGAUUACAACAGUACAAGAAAUAUGGGUUAGAGAAAGAACCAAACUAGUGAUCAGGUGGCCCAAAGAUUUCAAUUCAGCAAUCUGCGAAAGAGUUUAUGAGAAAAACAAUUUUGUUGAUUGUGAUCACAGACCUGGAGUUGCUGUGGCUAUAUCGAGUAACCAAGAAAACCUGCUUGAACUCAGACAACAGCUCAUUCUUGAUAAAUCUUCAGCAAAGAAGAAUACAAAUGAGCUACGUGGCACAAAACAGAAGGCAAGAAGGAGUCUUGUGUAUCCUGAAGGCGACACAACACAGGGAGCAUCAUUUUCAGCAGU